AGUUCUCACUACAAAAGAUUCACUGUUUGCCUGCAAAGAGAUAGGAAAUGAAUUAUAAAACAAUCCAGCGAAAGAAUUAUGUGUUGGAUGCCCCACAUCUGUAACAAAGAAGAAAAAACAAGGAAAUAUAUAGCAAGGGGAAGUCGAGACAGAUUGGCUUAAGUCAUUUUGGUUGAGGCAACCCAAGCUCAACAAGUCCGCAACAUGGAUCUUUGCCGACUCUCAUCCACACUCUCCCGGUCAGAGAAUUUGACAGAUUUAAUAGCGGGUAUUGGAUUAAAUACUCACUGUCGGUUGAAGGCAUGAUCAGGCAAUAUAGGCAACCAGGAAUGGUGCUAUGAUACUGCUCUUUUACACCUUCCAGAAGAGCUCUUUAAUGCUCUCACACAAUGAAUAAAGAGUUAAGCAUAACGAUAAAAGAAUUUAGGAGUACAUCACAUGCAGAAUGCAGAAUGAAAAGCCUAAAGAAAAUAAAUUAAAAAAAAAAAAUUAAUUCUUUGAACCAAAUUUAGAGAAAUAAUUUAAAAUAAGAAUGCAUAGUAACAAAUAACAAGACUAUUGACUUUAGACAUGGAUUUUGUGUCAUAUUUUUCCAUCCCACCAUGUGGUUUGGACUAAUUAAAAAGAAUUUAUGGGAACCCAUCUGCAAGUUAUACAUGGGUAGAAAUUUAAGUAAUUGAGAGGUGUAGUUACUAUCAAAUUAGAAGAAAGUAUAUAUAAAUUACAACAAUUAAUUAAUUUGACCUCUUAUAACUUGGCCUUGAUGACUUAAUUUCUGAAAUAUGAUUUGGCCUCCUAAAUUAAUUUGACAAGAAAUAGUGCUGAAACCCAAUUCAACCUCUCAUGAUGACCAUUUUCUUUUUGCUUUAUUUUGGAGAAACUCACCUGAAAAAGAUGCAACCUUUUCCUCCAUUUGAAAAGGAUAAAAUUUUGAUGUAACCUUUUUCUCCAUUUGAAAAAGAUAAUUUUUUUUUUUCAAAAUUUGAGACUACUAAAAUAUAUAUAUACAAAAGAAAAUAAAAACAUUUAGGGGAAUAUUUCUUUUAAGUGUGGUGUGUGUUGUUACAUUGAAUGUGAGAAAAUUUGCAAAUUAAUAUAAGAGAACAUGACAUCCAAAAAUUUUAAACAAUAAUGAAAAUUAAACAAUAAAUCAACAUUUACAUGUGUUAUAUUGUCAUUAGGUAAAAGGAAACAAGAACUUAGCUCUACUUCAGAUCAAGUGUUAUACCUGUAGUUAUUCAACAAAGUUAGACUAGAUAAAAUUAGUCAACUCGAUUUUGAUUACUUAUUAGUUAGACAACUCUCUUGAUGCAAUUUGCUGUUCCUUCCUUUCCAUGUGUUAUAGAUGUAAGUGUAGCAAGCAUCCAUAAGAAAAGAAGACAUGAAAUUCUCUUGGGUUAAACGCUUAUUAGCCUUGAACAGCCACAAAAUUACAUUCUUAUUUCAUACUGCCUUCAAUGUCUUUUCCUAUUCCAACUAUACCAACUAGCCUUUUCUCCCCCUUCUCAGUCCACUCCAAAUUUAGCUUACUUCUCCUUGUCCAAAUUUAGCCACCCAUCUUUCUCAAAUGUAGGGUUUAGGGUUCACCUCUGUCAUAUACUCCUCUUAAUUUGAACGCUUUAAUAUUUUCUUCAUGCAAUUCCCGAAGGGGUAUGGUAUCCCUUGUAAACAGAUCCAAAUCCUCCCUGACCCAACUUCCUUUAACUCGAAAAGUUUUUGGUAGAUGAAACAAGAUCCUGGUAAGAAUUAUCUUCUUGGACCUGCUACUCUUUCAAUCUCAUCGUUCAUUGAUGUUAAGUUCAUUUUCUCUGUUGUCUGUUCACCCUACUUCUUCCUUAUCCAGAAAAUAAGGAAGGAAUAAAUGUUGGAGUUGAUUAGGCCCAUAAAACCUCCUUCUCCAGAAUUUAGUGGAAUGUGAGAUCCAGCAGGAACAAGGAAGAAAGCGAGCCCAGAGCCAUACUGGUUACGACCUUGGAUGACAAUGAAGAAAGAGAAAUGGGCAGUGAAAUCGGAGAGAUGUUUGAUUUUGGAAUUCCUGAUGGGCACCUUCUCAACAUAUAAGUGGCUCGACCAACUUGGCCCAUGUAAUCGACACUGUUAAAUUCAACACUUCCAGCAAUAGGUGCUGGUGUGUUUGGGAUCAAAGUGUGUUAUUUCAAAGGAUAUUGGAUUAAAGAGGAGGAGGAGUGGAGGUGACGUUUUUAAGUUGUGGCAGGAGGUGACCAGAGAGUGACACCGAUGAGGAAGAGAAAGGUAGGAAGGGAAAUGUAAGUUAAUAGGGAACAGGUCAAAGGCAGUUCGGCUGAAGAAAGGCACCCUUUAAAGGUUUGCUAACAUGCCAAAUUUAACUCAAAACCAAACUUUAACACCAAUUCAAAUAACAAUGCCAAACGAGUUCCAAGUAACUUGAACAGCCCAGUGGAACUAUCCAAAACCCCUGAAAAGGAUGAGACACUAAUUUUUGGUGGGGGAAGGGCUGGGAAUAGAAGAAUAAGGAUCCAGAUUUCACCAAGUGAAGAAGGGGGCAAACCAUCAUCAACUAUGCACAAAUCCAUCAUGCAACAGCUCUAGAAAACAUUUAGACACCGAGCCAACAUAAGAAGUAAUCACAAUAAAUAACAGAUCAGUUGUUGCACAAAAUAGAUGUGCAUAAUCACAUUUUUGAACAUGGUGACAGUUUUGCAAUUUGCUGUAUCAAUUUGACAAACUUGUGUCUUAGUAGAGUAAUUUUCAAGUACCCCACUUGCCACUUGUCUCAGCUGUGCAUUCAUGCCCUGAGUUCUACUAAACUAGGAAACAAAGGGGAGAAACUUGCAUACUAGAUUAAAAAAGGGUGAGACAACAGUAUCGUAAAGAAAACAAAGAAAAUCACAACAAAUAAAUUCAGAAUAAUUUCAAUGGCAUGACAAUCGUCCAUCAAAUCAAGGAAGUAGAAACACUCACAAGAAAAAGAUUCGCAGUUUAGCCCAAUACAUUCUAUGGUCUCUCAUUGCUCAAAAAUACUUUGGUCCUGAAUUUUAUAAAAUCAGCAGUUUAGAGUGUUUCCACUUUCCUGUUUCUUAUGUUCUUUAGAGGCAUACUUUAGCCAAUAGAGGACCUAAAGGUUAAAUUUUUAUAAAGCCAAUGGGGCAAAGUGAUGGAUUUUGUAAAAAGAAGACAUAGGUGUUUAUUACAAAUUUUGCCAUGGAAUAUCACUGCAGUAUUUUAUAGUGACCAAUUUGAAACAAAAAUGAACUCUCAGCCCAGGACCUACCAAACAUGUCCCAAAAAAAUGCUGCAAAAUCUUUAGCAAACAAGAAAUAAUCAUGAAAACAGAUGGAGAUGUAUCACUUCCAUGCACUUGCAAUGUUGUUGGACACAUUGAAAAUCAUGAAAAGAAACAGAAAUUGAAGUAGAUGAGAGAAGAUAACUAUUAAAAAAAAAUACAACACAUGAUACAUACAGAAGCAAAGUUUUCUUCACAAUAUAUCUCAUUUUUUACCCUAAAGCACCUCUUGAUUUGAGUAAUUUGGUACAAGGACCCUCAGUGAUUAAGCUUGGGUUGAGAGGGAAGAUGAAUUGAGAAUAGUUAGUGAUUGUUAAUUACAAGAAACCAAUCACAGAUCUUGCUUUUUACAAGAAACAAUCCGGCUACUUAACCCACCAAGAAAAAGGGAAAAAAAAAAUUAACUGUUCACACUGUAAGAGAGAGAAAGAGAGCUAGACAAAACUCCAGAACACAGGUUACAUAAUUAAAAUGGCACAGUUUCUUUAGUUUACGCCAUCUCUAUAUACAUUGUCUGUUCAGACCAUUAAAUGCACAUAUGAUGCGUGAAAGUUGCAUAAACUCCAUAAUACAGUAUUGACCAAUCAUUAAAAAAGCUCUUCAACAUUCUGGUAAACAAUACCUGCUCAAAGUGCCAUCUCAGCCUGUAAGGCAGCAAGUUCAUCUUCCUCAGCUGUGCGCUUCUGAGGAACAGGACGGGCUGGUUGCCUCCCUGCUGGAACCUGCACUGGAGCUGCUGGAGCUGUGGUUGCAGGCUGAAGAAGUUGUUCUUCCAAUUCAGCACCUUCUAGUUCUUCAAGUUCCGCCUCCAAUUCAUCCUCAUCAAAAUCAGCUGCGGCACCAAUGGGAGCAGACAGAGCCUCUUGUAUCUGUUUCAUAUUCUCUGUCUGUUCAUUGAUCUCAUCCAUAGUCUUGUCCACAUCAUCGAUAUUUGUUGCCUUCUGCAUUGCCUUCAUUGCAGCUGCUCCAGUUCUCAAUGCAUCUACAGUUUCUGUAGUGGCUUUUGCACCUUCUAACAUUAUCAUCUGAUCAUGAAUGCGAAGUUGGAAAUUUCCAAGCUGUUCUAUUUGCUGUUCAUAUAGCUUCUUCCUCUUCAAACAUUGAAUAGCCGCUCUUUUGUUCCUUGCCCGGGUGAAUUCCCUGGCCUUUUCAACUUCCGCAGCAGCCUUUUUAACAAGUACUUUCUCUUUUUUCUCCAGCAUUUCAAGAGUCUCAUUUAAUUUGUCUAACGUAGUUAGAGCAUUCGUUUCCUGCUUAGGUUUUCCAAACAGCCGGGUAAACAUGGCUUACUCCGCAAAUUAAACCGCUGCUGCAAUCUUCUUGGAAAUUAGCUACAGGGGGCUUGAGCAGAGAUUUAUUGACUAAUAAGGGUUUUCGAUCAGAUCAGAGCAGAGAGGGAGAGAGGGGGUAGGUUUUGUUGGGGCUUUUCUUAAGCGUGUUGUAACGCCGUUGACGUAGUUCUCUUUA
rnacentral:misc_RNA from 1 species